UACAGAGGUCCCGAGCGUUGUUCGGAUUCAUUGGGCGUAAAGGGUGCGUAGGUGGCGCCGUAAGUGGGGUGUGAAAUCCCGGGGCUUAACCCCGGGACUGCAUUCCAUACUGCGGUGCUUGAGGACUGGAGAGGAGACUGGAAUUCACGGUGUAGCAGUGAAAUGCGUAGAUAUCGUGAGGAAGACCAGUGGCGAAGGCGGGUCUCUGGACAGUUCCUGACACUGAGGCACGAAGGCCAGGGGAGCAAACGGG
rnacentral:rRNA from 1 species